CCAAUAGCGUAUAUUAAAGUUGUUGCAGUUAAAAAGCUCGUAGUUGAAUUUCGGGGUCAGUAGGUUGGUCAUGCCACUGGUAUGUACUGGUCUCACUGAUUCCUCCUUCCUGAUGAGCCGUAAUGCCAUUAAUUUGGUGUUGCGAGGAAUCUGGACUGUUACUUUGAAAAAAUUAGAGUGUUUAAAGCAGGCUAACGCUUGAAUACAUUAGCAUGGAAUAAUGAAAUAGGACGUUCGAUCCUAUUUUGUUGGUUUCUAAGAUUGACGUAAUGAUUAAUAGGGAUAGUUGGGGGCAUUAGUAUUCAAUUGUCAGAGGUGAAAUUCUUGGAUUUAUCGAAGACUAACUACUGCGAAAGCAUUUGCCAAGGAUGUUUUCAUUAAUCAAGAACGAAAGUUAGGGGAUCGAAGACGAUCAGAUACCGUCGUAGUCUUAACCAUAAACUAUGCCGACUAGGGAUCGGAUGAUGUUAAUUUUUUAAUGACUCAUUCGGCGCCUUACG
rnacentral:rRNA from 1 species